CCCAGUCACUCACUCGAGGGGCGGGGGCAGCCAGACACUCCCCCGCCGCCAGUCCCUCCCCGCGCCCGGCUCCCGCGCGCGUCCUGCUCCCCUCCUCCGGGGAGGGGCUUGCGGAGGCCGCCCGGGCGCGGCGCACUGGGGAGGCAGGGCUGGGGCGCGGGCUCGGGGGCCGCCGGAAUGCAGGAGCGAUAUCUGUGUGUGUGUGUGUGUGUGUGUGUGCGUGUGCGUGUGCGUGUGCAUGUGCAUGUGCGUGUGUGUGUGUGUUUGCGCGCUCGCGCGGGGAGGCCAACUGGAGAGGAGACUCGGACUGCAAAGCUGUGUCCCUGUGGCCUUCCUGGGCCUGUCAUUUGGGUGGUAACGUGGGAGCCGAGGGACUGCUCGCGAGCCCGCGCGGGCGCAGCUCUGCGGGAGAUCCGGGUCCAGCGCGUGGCUGUGCCUGGUGGCAGCAGUCGGGGGAAGAAGGCUGGGCAUCCUCGGCCUGCGCGCGGCUCCUCCCCUCCCAGGCUACGCUGGACCUGCGGGCGCAGCCAGCCUCCCCGGCCCCGCCAACCGACCGCCUCCACCCUGCCCCGAAGCUGCGGCGCCUGCAUGAUGAACGAAGCACCGGCGACUGGGUGGACGCUUCGCUGGAAGGCAAGACCGGAGCCCCGCGCCCUUCUCCCCUUGCUGGCCUCCUAGGACCCAAGGGCUGGGGCCGCGCCUGCUGGGGGAUGGUUUGGGGUCUAAAAAUAUCACGGUCCACCACUUCAUGCGUCCAGUUCUUUGCGGCAUCUCACCGAAGGUCAACCAAUUUCCUACUCUCUGGAAAAGCGUGUUUUUCUCCUCUUCCCGGCACUCUGGGUGUUUGAUGUGAGCCCUGAAUUGAUCUCCCUGCACUGAUAGCCUUGGAUGUCUUUUGUGCUGCUUCCCCCCCGCGCUUCACUGCUCCUUGAUUGCCUUAGACACGCGAGGAAUGUCAGGCCCCCAGAGUGAGGACACCCAAGAAAACAAUAGAGGCAAAAGGUCCUCCGAGGACCUCGCGGAUUACUCACAAACCCAGUUUCCCACGUUUGGCCAAGAUGAAGUUGGAAAGUGGAAAGAGACACAGAGCAGUGGCAGUGAUGAGACACUUAAUUGAAAAGCGAAUUCAUAAUUCAGCUUAAUGAAAUGACUUAGUAAUCACCCAUUAAUGUCUAGGAAAUUAGCUUUUUUUUUUUUAAAUGGUCUUCCCGUUUUCCAUCUUUUUAUCAGCCUGAAGGGCUAGUGUCACAUUGUUCCUGAAAUUAAACUUGGAUAUUGUUUGUUAUUAUUAUACAUAUUCUAGUUUAUUUUUUCUUUGUAACCCGAAUUCUUUGUAGUGUAGCCACUUGAAAAGGAGUGGUUAAGAGGGGAGAGUAGACACAUUUGGGUUUCAAUCAGGGGCUUGCAGCCACCAUCCCUGUUCCCAUUGGUAACUUGUUUGAUAUCUUUCCCUCUUUUUCCUCAUCUGUAAGAUGGGAUUGAUAACUAGUAGAUCCUUCUUCACAAGGUUGUUGUGAAAGUAAAUGAAAGAUAAAAUGAGGUGGCAGUGAUGUAAGGCACUUUGCAUUGUGCCUGACUCAUGGUAAGACAUCAGUAAAUAGAAUUUUGAAAUAUUAUUAUAUUAUUAAUGAUAAUUAUUGUUAUUUCAAAGAUACAUUUGAACCUCAAAUUUGGAGUACUUUUUUUCCACCCCCCUCACCAUGGUCCCUCUUAAAGUAGAAGGGGAAUUCCUGCUGAAUUUAUCCAAAUACAGUCAACCUCUUCCUGGGGUUUGUAGGCCAUGCCUGAAAACUUCUCGUGUGAUGAAAUAAAUAAUGUGUGUGCGCAUGCCUCUCUGUCUGU
rnacentral:lncRNA from 1 species